GGUAUGAAGCAAUGUCCACAAGUGGUAAAUAAAAUAAUAUGUCAUGCCAAAUAUGAAACAUCGAGAAAAGCGAGAGACAGUGAAAUUGAAAUAUAUACCAACAUACUACGUUAUGCAAUUUCUAUCCUUAUACUUUCCUCGCCAGCUCAACUAUCUUCCUCACUAGAAUCCCAAACUGGGGUUCUCUCGACCUUAGUAACAAGAAAAGUCCACCACUAGACGUUCUUUAUGUACAGUUCAUUCAUAAAGUUCAUUAUAUAGGUCAAACCCAAUGUACAUCGUGUUCUGUGAGUAAAAGUUUCCUCUCAACAGGCUGGUGAACCAUGAAUACCAAGAGCAUUGUAUUCCUGCUGGUGCUGGUGAUCGUGGCCGUCACCGUUGUCAAUGGAAGCAUCAAGUAUCCCUGCCCACAAGUCAACGGGUUUUGUGUAAAUUUUUGUAGUUACGGACAAGAAAUAUCUACCGGCAUCUGCUACGGCAAUAAUAUAUGUUGCAGGGUAAAACAGCAUUACCACUAGUCCACAACAGUGGCCAGACCUGACGGACGCCACCAUGACCUAUAAGAAGACACCCUCAACUGUGUUUGGUGAUCAUCGACGAAACUUCUGUUUUCACAUGCGAUUAGAGAACUUGCUUUACCUAUGAUUUUUUUUAAGCAUUUGGAUUCUGCAACAACCUUUAUUUUCUUGUUCUUGCACAUUUUAAGAAAUGAUGAAGAAUAUUAGUAAAAUUUAAUUUAACUUGAGACUUGCGUCAUUAGCAUGCGCAUCUGCUUAUUUUUGACGUGUAUUGCCUUGUUAAUUCCCUCAUCUAUAAAUGAUAACAUUCAUCUUUGUUUUGAGAGCUUGAUAAUAAAAUUGUUAUAUUAUAAUUAAAAUAAUUGCCUCUUA
rnacentral:lncRNA from 1 species